GACGGUAAGGUAUUGGCUUACCGUGGCAGUGACGGUUAACGGGGAAUUAGGGUUCAAUUCCGGAGAGGGAGCCUGAGAAACGGCUACCACAUCUAAGGAAGGCAGCAGGCGCGCAAAUUACCCAAUUCUAACAGCAUAAGAGAGGUAGUGACAAGAAAUAACAGUACAAGGCAGUUAAAAUGCUUUGUAAUUGGAAUGAUAGAAAUUUAAAUACUUUUUAAAGUAUCAAUUGGAGGGCAAGUCUGGUGCCAGCAGCCGCGGUAAUUCCAGCUCCAAUAGCGUAUAUUAAAAUUGUUGCAGUUAAAAAGCUCGUAGUUAAAUUUUUGCUAAAAAUAACCGGUCUGCUUUUAUUAAUAAAAGUGGUAUCUUGGUGUGUUUUUAGCAAUAAUGUCCUUUGAAAUGUUUUUUACUUUAUUGUAAAAAGCAAUUUUCAGGAUUUUUACUUUGAGAAAAUUAGAGUGUUUCAAGCAGGCUAACGUUUUGAAUACUGCAGCAUGGAAUAAUAAAAUAGGAUUUUAGUUCUACGUUAUUGGUUUUAAGAACUAAAUUAAUGAUUAAUAGGAGCAGUUGGGGGCAUUUGUAUUUAACUGUCAGA
rnacentral:rRNA from 1 species